rnacentral:rRNA from 1 species
AUUGAACGCUGGCGGCAGGCCUAACACAUGCAAGUCGAACGGUAACAGGAAACAGCUUGCUGUCUCGCUGACGAGUGGCGGACGGGUGAGUAAUGUCUGGGAAACUGCCUGAUGGAGGGGGAUAACUACUGGAAACGGUAGCUAAUACCGCAUAACGUCGCAAGACCAAAGAGGGGGACCCACGGGCCGCUUGCCAUCGGAUGUGCCCAGAUGGGAUUAGCUUGUUGGUGGGGUAACGGCUCACCAAGGCGACGAGCCCUAGCUGGUCUGAGAGGAUGACCAGCCACACUGGAACUGAGACACGGUCCAGACUCCUACGGGAGGCAGCAGUGGGGAAUAUUGCACAAUGGGCGCAAGCCUGAUGCAGCCAUGCCGCGUGUAUGAAGAAGGCCUUCGGGUUGUAAAGUACUUUCAGCGGGGAGGAAGGGAGUAAAGUUAAUACCUUUGCUCAUUGACGUUACCCGCAGAAGAAGCACCGGCUAACUCCGUG